rnacentral:rRNA from 1 species
CCUACGGGAGGCAGCAGUGGGGAAUAUUGCACAAUGGGGGAAACCCUGAUGCAGCGACGCCGCGUGAGUGAAGAAGUAUUUCGGUACGUAAAGCUCUAUCAGCAGGGAAGAAAAUGACGGUACCUGACUAAGAAGCCCCGGCUAACUACGUGCCAGCAGCCGCGGUAAUACGUAGGGGGCCAGCGUUAUCCGGAGUUACUGGGUGUAAAGGGAGCGUAGACGGCAGCGCAAGUCUGGAGUGAAAUCCCAUGGCUUAACCAUGGAACUGCUUUGGAAACUGUGCAGCUAGAGUGCAGGAGAGGUAAGCGGAAUUCCUAGUGUAGCGGUGAAAUGCGUAGAUAUUAGGAGGAACACCAGUGGCGAAGGCGGCUUACUGGACUGUAACUGACGUUGAGGCUCGAAAGCGUGGGGAGCAAACAGGAUUAGAUACCCGUGUAGUC